GGGGUGCCCAGGCGCGAAAACUUUGCAAUGCGGGAAACCGUGACAAGGGAACUCUGAGUGCCCGUUAAAUCGGGCUGUCCAUCGGUUUAAAUAACCGGUGAAGAAAGGGCCGGGCAAGACCGGUGCCAGCCGCCGCGGUAAUACCGGCGGCUCGAGUGGUGGCCACUAUUACUGGGCUUAAAGCGUUCGUAGCUGGUUUGUUAAGUCUCUGGGGAAAUCUUCCGGCUUAACCGGAAGGCGUCUCAGGGAUACUGGCAGACUAGGGACCGGGAGAGGUGAGAGGUACUCCAGGGGUAGGAGUGAAAUCCUGUAAUCCUUGGGGGACCACCUGUGGCGAAGGCGUCUCACCAGAACGGCUCCGACAGUGAGGGACGAAAGCUGGGGGAGCAAACCGGAUUAGAUACCCGGGUAGUCCCAGCUGUAAACGAUGCGCGUUAGGUGUAUCGGUGACCACGAGUCACCGAGGUGCCGAAGAGAAAUCGUGAAACGUGCCGCCUGGGAAGUACGGUCGCAAGGCUGAAACUUAAAGGAAUUGGCGGGGGAGCAC
rnacentral:rRNA from 1 species